GAUGAACGCUGGCGGCGUGCCUAAUACAUGCAAGUCGAGCGAACAGACGAGGAGCUUGCUCCUCUGACGUUAGCGGCGGACGGGUGAGUAACACGUGGAUAACCUACCUAUAAGACUGGGAUAACUUCGGGAAACCGGAGCUAAUACCGGAUAAUAUAUUGAACCGCAUGGUUCAAUAGUGAAAGACGGUUUUGCUGUCACUUAUAGAUGGAUCCGCGCCGCAUUAGCUAGUUGGUAAGGUAACGGCUUACCAAGGCAACGAUGCGUAGCCGACCUGAGAGGGUGAUCGGCCACACUGGAACUGAGACACGGUCCAGACUCCUAAGGGAGGCAGCAGUAGGGAAUCUUCCGCAAUGGGCGAAAGCCUGACGGAGCAACGCCGCGUGAGUGAUGAAGGUCUUCGGAUCUUAAAACUCUGUUAUUAGGGAAGAACAAAUGUGUAAGUAACUAUGCACGUCUUGACGGUACCUAAUCAGAAAGCCACGGCUAACUACGUG
rnacentral:rRNA from 1 species